rnacentral:rRNA from 1 species
UACGAAGGGAGCUAGCGUUAUCCGGAUUCAUUGGGUUUAAAGGGAGCGUAGGUGGCCUUAUAAGUCAGUGGUGAAAUCUCUGGGCUUAACCCAGAAAUUGCCAUUGAUACUGUAGGGCUUGAGUAUAGUUCCGUUGGCGGAAUAUGACAUGUAGUGGUGAAAUACAUAGAGAUGUCAUAGAACACCGAUUGCGAAGGCAGCUGACGAAACUAUAACUGACACUGAGGCUCAAAUGCGGGAUCAAACAGG